GUAGGUGAACCUGCUGCUGGAUCAUUACCCACGUGAU
rnacentral:rRNA from 1 species